rnacentral:rRNA from 1 species
AGUGAACGCUGGCGGUAGGCCUAACACAUGCAAGUCGAACGGCAGCACAGUAAGAGCUUGCUCUUACGGGUGGCGAGUGGCGGACGGGUGAGGAAUACAUCGGAAUCUACUUUUUCGUGGGGGAUAACGUAGGGAAACUUACGCUAAUACCGCAUACGACCUACGGGUGAAAGCAGGGGAUCUUCGGACCUUGCGCGAUUGAAUGAGCCGGUGUCGGAUUAGCUAGUUGGCGGGGUAAAGGCCCACCAAGGCGACGAUCCGUAGCUGGUCUGAGAGGAUGAUCAGCCACACUGGAACUGAGACACGGUCCAGACUCCUACGGGAGGCAGCAGUGGGGAAUAUUGGACAAUGGGCGCAAGCCUGAUCCAGCCAUACCACGUGGGUGAAGAAGGCCUUCGGGUUGUAAAGCCCUUUUGUUGGGAAAGAAAAGCAGCAGGUUAAUACCCCGCUGUUCUGACGGUACCCAAAGAAUAAGCACCGGCUAACUUCGUG